rnacentral:rRNA from 1 species
GGAGGUCCGAACCCACGAGCGUUGAAAAGCUCGGGGAUGACUUGUGGGUAGCGGUGAAAUUCCAAUCGAGCCCGGAGAUAGCUGGUUCUCCCCGAAAUAGCUUUAGGGCUAGCCUCAAGGUGAGAGAUACGGAGGUAGAGCACUGAAUGUCCUAGGGGGUAUUGCACCUACCGAAGACUAUCAAACUCCGAAUGCCGUCAUCUUAUACUUGGGAGUCAGACUGUGGGUGAUAAGAUUCAUAGUCGAAAGGGCAACAGCCCAGAUCGUCAGCUAAGGUCCCUAAAUGUAAGUUAAGUGGUAAAGGAUGUGGGAUUGCACAGACAACCAGGAUGUUGGCUUAGAAGCAGCCACUCAUUCAAAGAGUGCGUAAUAGCUCACUGGUCGAGUGAUCCUGCGCCGAAGAUUUCCGGGGCUAAAACUUACUACCGAAGCUACGGCAUCAGUAAUGAUGGGUAGGGGAGCUUCCCAUACGGGUUGAAGCAUGACCGUAAGGACAUGUGGACAGUAUGGGAGUGAGAAUGUUGGCAUGAGUAGCGAGAUGUGGGUGAGAAUCCCACAGGCCGUAAACCCAAGGUUUCCAGGGGAAGGUUCGUCCGCCCUGGGUUAGUCGGGACCUAAGCUGAGGCCGAAAGGCGUAGGUGAUGGACAACAGGUUGAUAUUCCUGUACUACCGAUAACCGUUUGAGAGAAGGGAUGACACAGUAGGAUAAGCUAAGCACACUGUUGGUUAUGUGUGCCCAAGCAUUGAGGCAGUCAAAGUAGGCAAAUCCGCUUUGAUAAUGCUGGGCUGUGAUGGGGAGCGAAAUUUAGUAGCGAAGUAGCUGAUUUCACACUGUCAAGAAAAGUCUCUAUCGAGGUUAAAGGUACCCGUACCGCAAACCGACACAGGUGGGUGAGGAGAGUAUCCUAAGGCCAGCGAGAGAACUGUUGUUAAGGAACUCGGCAAAAUGACCCCGUAACUUAGGGAUAAGGGGUGCCACCAUCAGGUGGCCGCAGAGAAUAGGCCCAAGCGACUGUUUACCAAAAACAUAGGUUUCUGCUAAGUCGCAAGACGAUGUAUAGGAGCUGACGCCUGCCCGGUGCUGGAAGGUUAAGGGGAUCUGUUAGAGCAAUCGAAGCAGUGAACUUAAGCCCCAGUAAACGGCGGCCGUAACUAUAACGGUCCUAAGGUAGCGAAAUUCCUUGUCGGGUAAGUUCCGACCCGCACGAAAGGCGUAACGAUUUGGGCACUGUCUCA